UCUAGACGAUCACAAGGCUACAGAAAUAUGUAGUAAGAAAAGAUGCAUGGGUCGUAUGUAGGAUGUGGCGACCGGUUUCCCAUAGACGCUCUCCACGUCAGACAGAAGGCUCAUGGUGCUACAUAUUCUAUUUGGUUGCCGUGACAGUUUCGACCUUUAGGGUAAGCAGACAAUUUGGAAGAAGAUUAGAAGAAAAGAGAGUAAGCAUCACAUAUUUUCCACAUCUAAUCAGUGACUGCAUAGCACUGCAUAGUCUUACAUAUUCUAAUUUGAUACUGUAACGAAGUUUCGACCUUUGGGGUAAGAAGUCACUUUAGAAGAAGAAUACAUAUUUGAAGACGUUAAGAAGAAAACCUGUACAAUCCAGCAACAGAAAAAGUCUGGUGGAAAAAAAUCUGGUGAAGAUAUUCGGAAAAUUGGUUUGUUUAAGUCUACGAGCGUAUACUCCAAGAAACGAAAAUUACUCUGUUCCAUUGGCUAGUAAGGGAUUCACCGUUACAAAUAUCACACAAUUAAGAUUUAAACUAAAGGCCUGUACUGAUGGUCAUAUAUUCCUACAGGAAGACAAAGUGGCCAAUCUAUAUUCUGGGAGUUGGACGUUUGCACUCGGAACAUUCAGCAACACAAGAUCAGAAAUUCUAACAUCACCAUUAUUCAAUGACAGAUAUAGCUUGCAUGAGGAAGCUGUCUUGGACUGUAACCAGUUUAUGCCAUUUUGGAUCCGUUGGAAAGGAAGAUUGUUAGAGCUAGGAAAAGGCAGUGAAUUUGGAACUGACAGGAUAUGUUUUCAUAAAAUCUCUCCAUUGGAAUUCAACUAUGUAUUCUUAUUGACUGGAUGGGAGAGUUAUGGCUGCUGGGACAUAGAAACUGUUAGUCCCUCUAGUGUAUUGACGACCAGCUGGAACAAGCUAUCGGGAAACAAAAAGCUUGAGGGAUCAAAAGUUACAAGUCAUCAUGCCAGAAGCUUGACAGAAUGUAAUCUUAAAUGUGUGACACCUACUGAAGAUUUGUGUGCUUGUGUAGAAUACAGUUAUAAUAAGGUAACUAAACAAUGUUUACUUGGGGAUGAGAGUGGAGCUAGCACCAUUGUUACAGCAACCAACUGGAGAACAUGGCAACUGAUGUAAACAGAUUAUGGUACCACUCGGUUUAUGAAUGCAGAUAGGAGAAGCAGCUAUAUUCUAAUUAAAACUUUAAAAA